GUGUGCAAUACACUUACUUCUGACGACAAUCUGAAUAGCUGCGUGUUAGCGCUUACCAAAUACUACAAGGACCUGUUCGUAGCCACUGCCGAUAAGGUAACCCAAGUGUUCCAGUUCGCCACGGAUGAGGCCGCAGCCAGCGAGAACCGUAUCCUAAUCUGCUUCCAGCUGGUCAACAUUGAAGGAUCCGUCACGGCAGUGGAGGAGAUCAGCGCUGAUCUAACCACCUGCUCCAUCAGUGGCCCACGCGGCUCGGAUUAAAUAACAAAAUCCAGAAAAAUAAUGUAAUCUACCAGUACGCCUCGGUAAGGAAAGGUUGCCAGAGAAAUAGUUUCAAUAAACGCAACGACCCUAGCUGCGCAAGGCUUUAUCGUAGCUAGGAAAAAAUCUAAA